AUUGAACGCUGGCGGAAUGUUUUACACAUGCAAGUCGAACGGCAGCACGGGUGCUUGCACCUGGUGGCGAGUGGCGAACGGGUGAGUAAUACAUCGGAACGUACCCUGACGUGGGGGAUAACGUAGCGAAAGUUACGCUAAUACCGCAUACGUCCUGAGGGAGAAAGCGGGGGAUCGCAAGACAUCGCGCGUUAGGAGCGGCUGAUGGCGGAUUAGCUAGUUGGUGGGGUAAAGGCCUACCAAGGCGACGAUCCGUAGCAGGUCUGAGAGGAUGAUCUGCCACACUGGAACUGAGACACGGUCCAGACUCCUACGGGAGGCAGCAGUGGGAAUUUUGGACAAUGGGCGAAAGCCUGAUCCAGCCAUUCCGCGUGAGUGAAGAAGGCCUUCGGGUUGUAAAGCUCUUUCGGCAGGGAAGAAACGGUCGCCCCUAAUACGGGUGAUUAAUGACGGUACCUGAAGAAGAAGCACCGGCUAACUACGUGCCAGCCGCCGCAGUAACAC
rnacentral:rRNA from 1 species